UACGGAGGAUGCGAGCGUUAUCCGGAUUUAUUGGGUUUAAAGGGAGCGCAGACGGGUUUUUAAGUCAGCUGUGAAAGUUUGGGGCUCAACCUUAAAAUUGCAGUUGAUACUGGAGACCUUGAGUGCAGUUGAGGCAGGCGGAAUUCGUGGUGUAGCGGUGAAAUGCUUAGAUAUCACGAAGAACUCCGAUUGCGAAGGCAGCUUGCUAAAGUGUAACUGACGUUCAUGCUCGAAAGUGUGGGUAUCAAACAGG
rnacentral:rRNA from 1 species